GAUGAACGCUGGCGGCGUGCCUAAUACAUGCAAGUCGAGCGAACAGACGAGGAGCUUGCUCCUUUGACGUUAGCGGCGGACGGGUGAGUAACACGUAGGUAACCCACCUAUAUGACUGGGAUAACUUCGGGAAACCGGAGCUUACACCGGAUAAUAUUCCGAAGCGCAUGGUUCGAUAGUGAAAGAUGGCUUUGCUAUCACUUAUCGAUGGACCUGCGCCGUAUUAGCUAGUUGGUCAGGUAACGGCUUACCAAGGCAACGAUACGUAGCCGACCUGAGAGGGUGAUCGGCCACACUGGAACUGAGACACGGUCCAGACUCCUACGGGAGGCAGCAGUAGGGAAUCUUCCGCAAUGGGCGAAAGCCUGACGGAGCAACGCCGCGUGAGUGAUGAAGGUCUUCGGAUCGUAAAACUCUGUUAUUAGGGAAGAACAAACGUGUAAGUAACUGUGCACGUCUUGACGGUACCUAAUCAGAAAGCAACGGCUAACUACGUG
rnacentral:rRNA from 1 species